GCCCAAUUUCGCACGUGCCUGUGGUCGUGUGUCGGUCGGUGGGUAUCCGGACAAGAGGCCGGACAGCCGCCUGAGAAAGUGAACCUCACUUUCUUAGCAACUUGACCGGCAGCCGGAGGCGAAACCGGCGCACCCCGCGCUCAACGGGGGACGCGACUUAAAGCAACGACGGAGCGGGCUUCU
rnacentral:sRNA from 1 species